rnacentral:misc_RNA from 1 species
GAUGAAGAACGCAGCGAAAUGCGAUAAGUAGUGUGAAUUGCAGAAUUCAGUGAAUCCUCGAAUCUUUGAACGCACAUUGCGCCCUUUGGUAUUCCUUAGGGCAUGCCUGUUCGAGCGUCAUUUAAACCUUCAAGCUCAGCUUGGUGUUGGGUGACUGUCCGCCGCCUCCGGGCGGUCGGACUCGCCUCAAAUUGAUUGGCGGCCGGUACUUUGGCUUCGAGCGCAGCAGAAACGCGAACUCGAGGCCGUCGUCCUGGCUCCCAGAAGCUAUCUUCACAAUUUUGACCUCGGAUCAGGUAGGGAUACCCGCUGAACUUAAGCAUAUCAAUAAGCGGAGGA